rnacentral:rRNA from 1 species
AGGGCGUAUGGUGGAUGCCUAGGCUCUCAGAGGCGAUGAAGGACGUGAUAAGCUGCGAAAAGCUCCGUUUAGGUGCAAAUAACCUUUGAUGCGGAGAUCUCCGAAUGGGAUAACCCAAUAUGUUGAAGACAUAUUAUACCGUAAGGUAGGCAAACGCAGGGAACUGAAACAUCUAAGUACCUGCAGGAGAAGAAAACAAACGUGAUUCCCCCAGUAGCGGCGAGCGACCGGGGAUAAGCCCAAACCGUUAUUGUUUCGGCAGUAGCGGGGUAGUAGGACUGCGACAUUGAUGAAAUAAAUGAAAUGGAACACUUUGGAAAAUGUGAUCACAGAGGGUGAUAAUCCCGUACAUGCAAGUUUAUGAAUCAUAGCAGACUCCUGAGUAAGUCGGGACACGUGUAAUCCUGACCGAAUCCGCCGGGACCAUCCGGCAAGGCUAAAUACUCCUGAGAGACCGAUAGUGAACCAGUACCGUGAGGGAAAGGUGAAAAGCACUUCGAACAGAAGAGUGAAAUAGUCCCUGAACCCAUACGCCUACAAGCAGUCGGAGCCGCUUCGUGCGGUGACGGCGUGCCUUUUGCAUAAUGAGCCUACGAGUUACUCAUCACCAGCGAGGUUAAGUACUUCAGGUACGUAAGCCGAAGCGAAAGCGAGUCUGAAUAGGGCGUCAAGUUGGUGGUGGUAGACGCGAAACCUUAGUGAUCUACCCAUGGGCAGGGUGAAGGUUUGGUAACACAAACUGGAGGCCCGAACCGGUAAACGUUGAAAAGUUUUCGGAUGACCUGUGGGUAGGGGUGAAAGGCCAAUCAAACUGGGAAAUAGCUCGUACUCUCCGAAAUGCAUUUAGGUGCAGCCUCUGUUGUUUUGUUCUAGAGGUAGAGCUACUGAUUGGAUGCGAGGGCUUCACCGCCUAUCAAAUCCGGCCAAACUCCGAAUGCUAGAACAUGAAGACAGGGAGUGAGCCAGCGGGUGCUAAGGUCCGUUGACGAAAGAGGGAGAACUCAGACCAUCAGCUAAGGUCCCCAAUUAUAUGCUAAGUUGGAAUUAAAACGGGGUGGGACUGCUUAGACAGCUAGGAUGUUGGCUUGGAAGCAGCCAUUCAUUUAAAGAGUGCGUAACAGCUCACUAGUCGAGCGGUCCUGCAUGGAUAAUACGCGGGCAUAAGCAUAUAACCGAAGCUAUGGGAUUGUAGAUGAUACAAUCGGUAGGAGAGCAUUCCAUUCAGCAUAGAAGCAGUACCGUGAGGUAUUGUGGAGCGGAUGGAAAAGCAAAUGUAGGCAUAAGUAACGAUAAUGCGGGUGAGAACCCCGCACGCCGAAAGAUCAAGGAUUCCCCGGCAAUGUCAAUCAUCCGGGGGUAAGUCGGAUCCUAAGGGUAAGCCGAGUGGCGAUCCCGAUGGUAAACAGGUUAAUAUUCCUGUACUGAUCAUAACUGCGAUGCAGCGACGCAGAGGUGACACUGCUGCGUACUGACGGAAUAGUACGUUGAAACCCGUAUUCUUUGAUACCGGUAGUGAAGCACGCCGGUAGAGAUGAAAGGUGAUAGUACCGCAAUGCUUCGGUUGCGCGGAUAAUGCAGGUAAGCUGACUGCCAAGAAAACCUGCUAAGCUUCAGGUAAUGAUCAUCCGUACUGUAAACGGACACACGUGAUCAGGUAGAAAAUACUAAGGCGCUCGAGAGAUUCAUGGUUAAGGAACUAGGCAAAAUGGUCCUGUAACUUCGGGAUAAAGGACGCUCUUGUGAAAGAGCCGCAGAUAAUAGGCCCAGGCGACUGUUUACCAAAAACACAUGGCUAUGCUAAUUCGCAAGAAGAUGUAUAUGGCCUGACACCUGCCCGGUGCCGGAAGGUUAAGAGGAGAGCUCAGAGGUAACUCGAAGGUUUGAAUUGAAGCCCCGGUAAACGGCGGCCGUAACUAUAACGGUCCUAAGGUAGCGAAAUUCCUUGUCGGGUAAGUUCCGACCUGCACGAAUGGUGUAACGAUCUGGGUACUGUCUCAACCAUGAGCUCGGUGAAAUUGUAGUUCCGGUGAAGAUGCCGGAUACCCGCAACGGGACGGAAAGACCCCGUGAACCUUUACUGCAGCUUUGCAUUGAACUGUGAACCGAUUUGUGUAGGAUAGGUGGGAGGCAGAGAAGAGGCCACGCCAGUGGUCUUGGAGCCGUCCGAUGUAAAGUAUUUCCCUCAAUUUCGUUCCAAUUCUCCGUUUUUAGCCUGUUCGAAAGUCGGAUUAUAAGCAUUAUGCCCGACAACCCAAGAAGUAUCAUCCGUCAAUCCCCCGAUUGCUUUUUCCAAUCCUUUAAAAGAUACCAGGCCUAACUGGUACUCGAUAUUGAUCACUCCGACAUUUUCCAGGGCUCUAAAACAAUCCAGAUUAGUCAGGACAUUAUUACACCAACUAUCCUGAUUUUUACUGUAAGUAGUCAGCACCAAUAUCCCGACUUUUUUCAAAACGGGAGUAUAGAUUUCCUGUAACAUGCUCACUAAAGAUCCAUUCACAUAGCUGGUUUUGAUAUUCAAUUCACCCGUCACCUCCUCCAAGGCCGGAAAACGAAGGGCAUCACAGACUCCGGUAUAGGUCAUGUUAUUCACUAUCCUUAAAACCGGAAAUUCCGUCGGCUGUACUUU